rnacentral:rRNA from 1 species
UACGGAGGGGGCUAGCGUUGUUCGGAAUUACUGGGCGUAAAGCGCGCGCAGGCGGUUUUCCAAGUCAGUGGUGAAAGCCCGGAGCUCAACUCCGGAACUGCCAUUGAAACUGGCGAACUUGAGUACGAGAGAGGUGAGUGGAAUUCCCAGUGUAGAGGUGAAAUUCGUAGAUAUUGGGAAGAACACCGGUGGCGAAGGCGGCUCACUGGCUCGUAACUGACGCUCAGGCGCGACAGCGUGGGGAUCAAACAGG